rnacentral:rRNA from 1 species
UCUGCUCAAUGAUAAUUUAAAUAGCUGCAGUAAUUUAACUGUACAAAGGUAGCAUAAUCAUUUGUCUUUUUAUUGAAGUCUGGAAUGAAAGAUUGAAUGAAAUAAAUACUGUCUCAAAUUAAAUAUAUAUUAAAAUUUAUUUUAAGUAAAAAUUCUUAAAUUAAAUAAAAAGACGAGAAGACCCUAUAGAAUUUCAUAAUAAUAAAUUAUUUAUUAUUAAAUUAAUUAAUAAAUAUAUUAAAAUUAUUUUAUUGGGGUGAUAUAAAAAUUUAAAAAAUUUUUUAAAUAUUAUUAAUAUUUAUUAAUAGAAUUAUUUAUCCAAUAUUAUUGAAUUUAUAUAAAAUUACCUUAGGGAUAACAGCGUAAAAUUUUUGGAGAGUUCAUAUUGAUAAAAAUUAUUGCGACCUCGAUGUUGAAUUAAAAUAAAUUAUUAUUGAAGAAAAUAAUAU